CGUACAACUCUGAACGGUGGAUCACUCGGCUCGUGUGUCGAUGAAGAGCGCAGCCAACUGUGUGAAUUAAUGCAAACUGCAUACUGCUUUGAACAUCGACAUCUUGAACGCAUAUUGCGGCCAUGGGUUAGCCUGUGGCCACGCCUGUCCGAGGGUCGGCUU
rnacentral:rRNA from 3 species